GUCCCGGGUCCGUGCAGGGUUACGUCGUAAACCCGGUCAGGUCCGGAAGGAAGCAGCCGUAGCGGCCUCUGAUUCGUGCCGCGGAGCCCCGGGGCCCA
rnacentral:SRP_RNA from 1 species